rnacentral:rRNA from 1 species
UGGCGGACGGGUGAGUAACACGUGAGCAACCUGCCUUCGAGAGGGGAAUAACGGCUGGAAACGGUCGCUAAUACCGCAUAACAUACCGGGAGGACAUCCUGCUGGUAUCAAAGAUUUUAUCGCUCGAAGAUGGGCUCGCGUCCGAUUAGGUAGUUGGUGAGGUAACGGCUCACCAAGCCGACGAUCGGUAGCCGGACUGAGAGGUUGAACGGCCACAUUGGGACUGAGACACGGCCCAAACUCCUACGGAAGGCAGCAG